rnacentral:misc_RNA from 1 species
GAUGAAGAACGUAGCGAAAUGCGAUACGUAAUGCGAAUUGCAGAAUUCAGUGAAUCAUCGAGUCUUUGAACGCACAUUGCGCCCCUUGGUAUCCCGAGGGGCAUGCCUGUUCGAGCGCCAUUUCACCACUCAAGCCUGGCUUGGUGUUGGGCGACGUCCUCUUUGGGGACGCGCCUCGAAACGCUCGGCGGCGUGGCACCGGCUUUAAGCGUAGCAGAAUCUUUCGCUUUGGAAGUCGGGGCCCCGUCUGCCGGAAGACCUGCUCGCAAGGUUGACCUCGGAUCAGGCAGGGAUACCCGCUGAACUUAAGCAUAUCAAUAAGCGGAGGA